rnacentral:rRNA from 1 species
GACGAACGCUGGCGGCGUGCCUAAUACAUGCAAGUCGAACGGUCUUUUCUAUGGAAGCUUGCUUCCACUGAGAAGAUAGUGGCGAACGGGUGAGUAACACGUGGGUAACCUGCCCAUAAGAGGGGGAUAACAUCCGGAAACGGGUGCUAAUACCGCAUAGUUUUCUUGAUCGCAUGAUCGAGAAAGGAAAGACGGCCUUUGUGCUGUCGCUUAUGGAUGGACCCGCGGCGUAUUAGUUAGUUGGUGAGGUAACGGCUCACCAAGACGAUGAUACGUAGCCGCCCUGAGAGGGUGAUCGGCCACAUUGGGACUGAGACACGGCCCAAACUCCUACGGGAGGCAGCAGUAGGGAAUCUUCCGCAACGGACGAAAGUCUGACGGAGCAACGCCGCGUGAGUGAAGAGGGUUUUCGGAUCGUAAAACUCUGUUGUCAGAGAAGAACAAGUCGGAGAGUAACUGCUCCGGCCUUGACGGUAUCUGACCAGAAAGCCACGGCUAACUACGUGCCAGCAGCCGCCGUAACAC